GUUCGAAUCCCUUUUUUUGCU
rnacentral:tRNA from 16 species